GGCCCUGUGGUGAAAUCACGUCGGAUUGCAAAUCCGAAGAAGCGGGUAACGCCCGCCGGGGCUU
rnacentral:tRNA from 1 species